rnacentral:lncRNA from 1 species
GCGCUUGUAAAAUAGGUUUAUUACUACUGCUUACAGUUUCUUAAAACCGCCCCUAAUAAAGAAGUUUUAACUUUUAAAUAUUCAUAGACUUACACGUACUUUAGAACAAACAUCGCACAUUCCUUCCACGUUGAAAAUUUCAGCAGUAUUGAAUGAAUCUAAGCUUUUACUGACACCCUGAUAUUCAUGGACAAUUGCGGACAUCGACAACGAACUUUAUCAUGCUAAUGUCAAACAAUUUCAUUCAUGGG